AUUGAACGCUGGCGGCAAGCCUAACACAUGCAAGUCGAACGCGUGGCGGACGGGUGAGUAAUGUCUGGGAAACUGCCUGAUGGAGGGGGAUAACUACUGGAAACGGUAGCUAAUACCGCAUACCAUCGGAUGUACCCAGAGGGGAUUAGCAAGUAGGUGGGGUAAAGGCUCACCUAGGCGCCGAUCCCUAGCUGGUCUGAGAGGAUGACCAGCCACACUGGAACGGAGACACGGUCCAGACUCCUACGGGAGGCAGCAGUGGGGAAUAUUGCACAAUGGGCGCAAGCCUGAUGCAGCCAUGCCGCGUGUAUGAAGAAGGCCUUCGGGUUGUAAAGUCCUGUCAGCGGGGAGGCGUUACCCGCAGAAGAAGCACCGGCUAACUCCGUGCCAGCAGCCGCGGUAAUAC
rnacentral:rRNA from 1 species